UUUGGAGGUAGUAUAAGUAGUAUUUCUGUCUUACACACAGGUGGUGUCGCGAUAGCCGGCUCUCUAAAA
rnacentral:tRNA from 2 species